AGCUCCAAUAGCGUAUAUUAAAGUUGUUGCAGUUAAAAAGCUCGUAGUUGGAUUUCGGGACCAGGGAGGUCCGGUCUGCCGGGAUGGUGUGCACUGGCUUCCCUGUCCUUACUAUAUCUGCCGGUAUGCUGGUCUCUGCUCUUAACUGAGUGGAGGCUCUCAGCUCCGGCUCGUUUACUUUGAGAAAAUUAGAGUGUUUAAAGCAGGCGUUGCCAAAAACAAGUGCCUUGAAUACUACAGCAUGGAAUAAUGGAAUAGGACUUCGUGCCUCAUUUUGUUGGUUUCUAGGAAGCGAAGUAAUGAUUAAUAGAGAUAGUUGGGGGUAUUCAUAUUUAAUUGUCAGAGGUGAAAUUCUUGGAUUUAUGAAAGAUGAACUUCUGCGAAAGCAUUUAUCAAGGAUGUUUUCA
rnacentral:rRNA from 1 species